rnacentral:rRNA from 1 species
UACGUAGGGGGCAAGCGUUGUCCGGAUUUAUUGGGCGUAAAGAGCGUGUAGGCGGCCAGACAGGUCAGCUGUGAAAACUCGAGGCUCAACCUCGAGACGUCGGUUGAAACCGUCUGGCUAGAGUCCGGAAGAGGAGAGUGGAAUUCCCGGUGUAGCGGUGAAAUGCGUAGAGAUCGGGAGGAAGGCCGGUGGCGAAGGCGGCGCUCUGGAACAUUUCUGACGCUGAGGCUCGAAAGCGUGGGGAGCAAACAGG